GUGCCAGCAGCUGCGGUAAUACGAGUGCCCCAAGCGUUAUCCGGAAUCACUGGGCGUAAAGCGUGUGUAGGCGGGAUAGUUAGUCUUUGGUUAAAACUCCCGGCUUAACCGGGAAGGUGCCAGAGAAACGGCUAUCCUUAUGAGGGGGCGAGGGGUCUAUGGAACUCAUGGUGUAGGGGUGAAAUCCGUUGAUAUCAUGGGGAACACCAAAAGCGAAGGCAAUAGACUAGCGCCUUACUGACGCUGAGACACGAAAGCGUGGGAAUCGAACGGGAUUAGAUACCCCGGUAGUCCACGCCCUAAACGAUGCUCGCUGGCUUUUCGGAGUAUCGACCCUCUGAGAGGCGAAGCUAACGCGUUAAGCGAGCCGCCUGGGAAGUACGGCCGCAAGGCUAAAACUCAAAGGAAUUGACGG
rnacentral:rRNA from 1 species